GGUCACAAAGCUCCUUCUCAAACUUGUUCUGGAGGAAGCCAGCAGCCAUGUCAUAAGGAAGCUCAAGCAGCCAUAUGGAGAGCCCACAUGGGAAGGGACAGAGGCCUCCUGCCCACAGCCGUGGAGAUGAACCACCUUGGAGACAGCUCCCCCAGCCCCAACACACGCAGAUGAUCAUGGUCCUGGCUGACAUCUUCACUGCAACCUCACGAGAGACCCAAGCCACAACUUCCCAGCUGAGCCCACAGAUGUGGUAUGAGAUGAUGUGCUUGUCGGCUUAAGCUGUUAUGGCUUUGGGGUGAUUCGUUAGCAGCACUGGAUAACUCCUGCACUGCCUAAGUGUGAAGGCAAAGAAUGUGGAGCAUGGGGUGGGUCCCAAGUGAAGGUUGGGCAGGCGAGCCCCAGCCAGAGGUGCAAGGGGCCAUGUGGUGGAGUGAUUAGUGGCUUGAGAAGAAAAGAUUGAAUGGGGCCAGAGGAAAUGGAGGAAUCAUAGCACUGGAGGUCCCCAUGAAAGUAAAGAUGAGGGCUGAGGCGUAGAGAAGAGAGUGGAGUUUCCUGUUUGAGAGAACGUUUCUGGGUGGAUGUGGCUCAAGGUGUGGCAAAGUUUGGGGAGGGGGAGGGUCAGUAGAGUCGUGACCCCUGGACAGUGAAGCCAGCCAGGGUAGCCAGGGUGGCAGUGGGACUUGGCUUGGGGAGAAAGACACACCUUCCAGUGCCUAAGGCCUCAACUUACGGGGGAGUGGUGGGGACUAGAGAUUACAGGUGGUGAAGGUGGCCUCUUGGGGUGGCUUGACCCUGCAGGGAGGUUUUCCCAAAGACAGGAGGCACAGCUGCCUGUAAACACCCAAGAGAAGACUCUGAAGGCCAGCUCCACUCCUUCUGGCUGCAGAAGACAGGGAGUGAGAAGGGUCUCUGUCCCCCAGGGCUGCACAGAGGAUGGUGUGGCCAAGACAGAGCAGGCUACAGUGGACAGGCAAGCGGCAGGGCUGGUGCUGAGUCACUCCACAGUGUCGAAUCUACUAUCUGCAGGAUGCCAGGGACACCAGAUAAAGAUGUGGUCCAGGCCGGGCAUGGUGGCUCACACCUGUAAUCCCAGCACUUUGGGAGGUUGAGGCAGGAGGAUCACUCGAGGCCAGGAGUUCAAGACCAGCCUGGGCAAUAUAGCAAGCCCCAUCUCUAAUUAAAAAAAAAAAGACAUGGUCCUUAUCUAGAGGAGAAACAGAGAGCAAAGGUAGAGAAGCCCUCAGAGAAACUGGGUCUCCAAGAAACACAGUCCUGCCCCCCCCCAAGCACCCCCACAAUAGCUCUUUAUUCCCUGGGGACCUCCCAGCUGUGAUGGCCGCCAGCCUCUGCACUCUUCCUGCUCAUGUCCUUGUCCCCUUUUUCUGGGCGUCACGUCCUCCCUGGGCACGACUCUCCCACUGGAAGUCUCUGCUGCUGUGGUCACGAGACGUGACCUGGAGUCACUGCUUUCUCUGGGUCUAGCUUGUUGGCUAGAUCCUCUCUGCCCUUAGGUGAGUCUUCUCAGGAGGCCCACGGUUCCUCGUGUGAACCAAUUCUCAUGAAGGCCUGGCCUCUGAUUCCAGGCAAGUCUGAAUCUAAACUGGCAGAGCUCAUAGCCAGGCGCUGGUGCCCUCGGAGCUCUGCAUAUCUCCCCCGAAAUCCUGGGAUCUGUCCCUAUGUGCUUAACCCCACUAAGGUUCCUAAGUCCAGGCCUAUCCACAAGGCCAAGGGCUUUCACAAGGACAAUGGUGACUCCUGGGUGGUCCCUGCCCCCUGCCAUGACUCUUAUGUCCGUAUGCGUGGCCCAUGGCCACACCUCAUGGGGAGAUGACAGGAGCAACGGCAUCUGCAGAGACACUACUCCAUAACAAAGCCAGAAAGAAACGCCUUCUGCAAAACACUCUAGAAGUGAAAGGAGAGGCGAGGCGUGCCCUCGGCCAUCAGUUUUAUCCCUUUGCUUUUGUAGUUGUUUAAUGUUGAGACAAGUCAACUUGAAGCUGUAUAAUAAAUGAAUUCCAGCUUGAGCCUUGGCAGGGUUUGUUUGUCUUGAGGGAAGUUGUUUAUGCUAAUGGGCCCCCUCUGCAGAGCUGGAUUUAUAUUAUACAGAGUCUUGUCCAUCAUCUGGAUGCCGCUGUAAACAAGAUAAUCUUUGUCUACCAAGAACGAGCCCGAUGCCAAUAACUUUAAAUAAACAUGAGCCCCAGGUUUGUAUUUACAUUGUCUGAGGUAACCGCUGGCGAGUUUGUCACGGCGCCAUCGGCCCCUCCCUGGCUAAGGUAGCUUCGGCUUUCCCACUGACCUUGUUUUUAGAGGCCUCACUCCGGGAAAGGAUCUCAUAUUUAGCAGAUGAGCGCUACACCCCGGGCUGGGCUGCAUUCUUUUGCAUGGUUUUGGCAUUUUGUAGUUCUGUCAAGUUAGCAUAGCUUCCUUUUGUACUGGAUAGAGCAGGACAUGGGUCCGGGGCAGGAGCUCAGACAUGGAAAUGACAUCAUAGACC
rnacentral:lncRNA from 10 species